rnacentral:rRNA from 1 species
UGGGUAGCGGAGAAAUUCCAAUCGAGCUCGGAGAUAGCUGGUUCUCCCCGAAAUAGCUUUAGGGCUAGCCUCAGGGGUGAAAAUAUGGAGGUAGAGCACUGAAUGGACUAGGGGCCAAAAAGGUUACCGAACCCUAUCAAACUCCGAAUGCCAUAUUGAGAACCCUGGGAGUCAGACUACGAGUGAUAAGAUCCGUGGUCAAAAGGGAAACAGCCCAGACCGACAGCUAAGGUCCCAAAGAGCAUGUUAAGUGGGAAAGGAAGUAGGAUUUCCAAGACAACCAGGAUGUUGGCUUAGAAGCAGCCAUACAUUCAAAGAGUGCGUAAUAGCUCACUGGUCGAGAAAUCCCGCGCCGAAAAUAAACGGGGCUAAAACAUGCCACCGAAGCUACGGAUUCGUAAGAAUGGUAGGGGAGCGUACUGUACAGGGCGAAGGAUAAGCGUAAGCGAAUCUGGACAGUACAGUAGAGAGAAUGCCGGUAUAAGUAACGAGAGUAAGGCGAGAAACCUUACCGUCGAAAGCCUAAGGUUUCCUGGGGAAGGAUAAUCCGCCCAGGGUAAGUCGGGACCUAAGCCGAGGCGAAAGCGUAGGCGAUGGACAACCGGUAAUAAAUCCGGUACCACCGAAAUCCGUCAAAAGAGAAGCAAGGACGCAGCGAGAUAAGAAAAGCGUGCGGUUGGUAGAGCACGUCCAAGCAGCGACGAAAAGAGCUUUGAGUGAAGUACCAAAGCUCAUAAGAGCUGUGAAGGGGAGCCGAAAGGCGAAGUUUCGAAGGGGCUGCCAAGAAAAGUUGCUAUCGAGGAUAGAGGUGCCCGUACCAGAAACCGACACAGG